UAAAAAUGUAAAAUUUUAGUUAAAUUAUUAAUAGUUAAGUUCUUUAAAUUUAAAAAAUUUGGCGGUAUUUUAGUCUAUUCAGAGGAACCUGUUCUAUAAUUGAUAAUCCACGAUUAGAAAUACUUAUUUUAAAAAGUUUGUAUAUCGUUGUUUAAAUAAUUUUAUAAGAAUUAUAAUUGUUAAAAAUUUUUAUUUUAUUAAUAAUCAAAUCAAGGUGCAGUUUAUAAAUAAGAAGAAAUGGGUUACAAUAAAAUUUAUUUUUGGAUUUUUUUAUUUAAUUAAUUAAUGAAAUUGGAUUUGAUAGUAAUUAUAAAUAUAUAUUUAUAAUGAUUUUAGCUCUAAAAU
rnacentral:rRNA from 1 species